AGCAGUGUGUGGUAAGAGGAACGUCUGAGUCCCAGUCCCAGUCCUGAGAUCUCCGGACCCUUGGCACCUGAACAGAAGCCACCUUUUGGGUUCUCUCCCUGGGGUGGUGCAGAGCCUGGAAUCCUGCCCCUCAGUGCCUGGGGCUUCCUCUGGGAAGAAGGAGGAGCACGUGAAAUCAAAUUUCUUCCCAGAGAAGCCUGAACUAACCCUGGCAGGACAGCUGCUGCUCAGAGCCCACUGAGAAUUCAGCCAAUUAAAUGGGGAAAUAUGGGAGAAGACCUCCAUGGUGGGGCAGGGCGAGUCCACCAGAAGAAUAAACAGACAUGAAAGACAAGGGGCUCCUGGCUCCUGCUGCCCAAGCUGCUCAUGCCAAGGGAGAGUCACGAGAAAACUCCACUCAGCAAAGGUCCUGUCUCGCUCCUCAUAGUUAAUAUGCUGGGAAAACAGCAACCCCGGCAGCAGCCGUGUGUUCAGCCGGGAUGCAUCUGCCAAGGGCUGAGCUCAUAGCUUCGCCACCUGGGGCUUCAGGGCCCGUUUAACCCACUCAGACAUGGAGGUGCUGGGAGGGGGAGACUGGGGUGAGCCAUGGGAGGGGGGAAUCUGGAGUCAGUGACCAGGACCCUGCAUUUUGAUGCAGAGAGGAGCUUAGAGAUCUUUGGCUCAACGUCCUCCUGCAGAUUCUGAAACAGGAGGAGAGGGUCCUGGAACCUUCCUUCUCACACUCGGGUGGAGGAUUUUCAGAUCUUGCAGUCCCCUCCAUGGCAGCUGUCACACAUGGGAUCUCAGAGUCAGAGCUUCUUUCAUGAGCUCCAAGACACUUUCAUAAAAGCUUUGAAUCACAGAAUCUGAGCAUCUGCUCCCUGUCACAGAAUCCUAGAAUCCCAGGAUCACAGAAUCAUUUGUGGACUCACAGACUCAAGACUCUCAGAAUGAAAGGAUCUCUGGGGAAGACUUGGAGACUCACCCACGCAGCUCAGACCCCUGGAAUCACAGAACAAUCGGGAGAAGUGAUAUUAGAAGAUAUCUAAUAUCGUGGAAUCAGCAUCUUAGCACAGGACGUGACCUUAGCCCAGUUCCCCCUGGUCAUGCGGGAAGUCCUCUCUUCACUGUCCUGGGUAAUGGUUUGAACUCUGGUAGAGACGGUGAGGUCACCAUCUGACAGGGUCACCUGUUCCAUUCUUGGGCAGAUCAGGCUGCUGGUGCUGAGACUAAAUUUGCCUCCACAUGACCCACCUACCAAUCUGGCUCCUGGCUCCUCCUCCCACGAAGAACUGAAUAUGUAAGGUGAUCUGGACACCCACACAGAGGCUUAACACAGCCAAGCACAGCUUGGUCCUUGGCCAGAGGUGUCUGCCUCCCUCUAGGGCAGAGUUGGGCACCAGGACGCAGGAACCGAUGGGGCUGCUUGGCUCACUUCAGUUCAAUUCAGUUCACCCAAACAAGCAAGAGGUGUCCAGUCUGCUCCUCUUCUGGAGGAGGGGCCGGUCAGGGACAGGGGUGGGCAGGUAGGAACGCCCACCAGGAAGGAAGCUCAGUGGUGCUCUGGGAGAAGGAAUGAUCCUGUUCUCAGGGGUAGAGAGGAUGCCUGGGGCCAGAGGUGACAAAUAAGGCUGGUCAGAGUUAUCCCAGCCCUGCCGCUGACCAUGAGGUAACUUUGGGAAAUCACUCAAUGCCUCAGAGCCUCAGUUUCUCCAUCUGAGAAAUGGGAUCAUGAAGCCCCCUCUGUGUGAUUGGUGCAGGGCUGUGUUGGGAUUCACGCAGGGCACUCACCUCCCAGCACGGCUCUUGGCACAGCCAAGGCAAAAUAUAUUAAUUCCCUCCUGUCCCUCCAUCCUUGGGCCUGGGGGAUGAGCAGGAUUCUCCAGAUGGAGAAGAUCUGGGAAAGGCAUUCCAGGCGCAGGGAACAGCCUGUGCCAAGCCCUGGGAGCUGGGAGCAUUUGAAGACUCGGAGUGUCAGGAUGUGGGGGCAAAGUGCAGGCCUGGUCUGGGGGCAGUGGGCCCUGGAUGCCACCAUCCAGGAUGGUGGGGUGAGGGCGCUGGGAGCCAUAACAGGCACAGGUAGCCUCCUGCAGAGACCCUCCACCCUCCUUUGGUGCCCAGUAUCAGCCUGGGGAGAGAGUGUAGCUGCCCAGCCUCCUGGGACCCCACCAGCCAGGCAGCAGCAGAAAAGUGGAACCAAUGAAAACACACCAGAAACAAUCAUCACACAGACGAGGUCCGUGCCCAGCCAAACCCCAGCCCUGAGCACAUGGAAUGAUUUGAUGCUGAAACCCAGCACCGGAACAUUAGGGCAGUUUAGAAGGGUCUGGCACGGUUUUAUUCUGACAUAAAGGGCUGGAUCUCAUUAAGUUCACUUCAAAUGCCAACUGGGGAAUAAAUGAGGCCAAGUCCCCUGAUGAGCCUGGGCCCUGGUACCAGCCCAGGGUAGAUGUCAGGGAGCAGCCGGAGGCACGUUGUGGGGACACAGGAAGCUGGGAUCUCAGCUCUCUCCCCAUGAGCUGUGUGACGUGGGGCAUGUUGCCUAACCUCUCUGUGCCCACGCUCCUCCUACAGGGCAGGGUUGACGCUGGUGGCUCUUGUGCAGGGCAGCAGUGUAGACUGAAGGAGGCAGCCCCAGCUCCCUCACACCUGGGCUUCACUCUGUCUCCUGUUCCCCGGGCGGUCAUUCAUUCUUCUCUCCCAUUCCCCCGCCCGCCCACUCAGGACCUGCACCCUCAUUCACCAGGCGUGGGUUUAUUCCCCAUCAGCCCCGAGCUCCCCUUCCCCAGUGCAUUUACUCACCGCCCAGCCCUCCCUCAGCCCCCAACCCGUGCAUGACUCUGGCCUCUGCUGUGAGAAACCAGGAUCCCUCCUGUGCCUGUGAAGGGGGCUGGGCAGUUUAAAGAACGCAGUGUGACUUCAUUUAGGCCUCAAGUCCCCCAGGUCCCCACCCAGCUUCCUCCUCCUAGGUCACUCAGGGGCAGGGCAUUAAUGGGUGGUCCCUUGGGGGGAGUCCAGAGCUGCCCAUUGGAGGGGAGCCUGCCACCUCUUAGUGCUGUCUGUGUGACCUGGGCCAGAUCACCUUUCCUCACUCUGCCUAGGAAGUCCUUUCACCUCUGGGUGUGGGGAGUUGUCUGAGCCUCCUUGUGGCUCUGGGCUGGGAGAAGGCUCUGCCUCUGGCCAGUUUGCAGAGAACAGAGGUCGUUAUCCAUCCUGCUUCUCACGGCCCUUUUUGUAUCUAUAUCUAUGUCUGUGUCUAGGUCUAUGUCUGUGUCUAUAUCUAUCUAUGCCAUCUCUCUCUGUCUCUAUCUAUCUAUCUAUCUAUCUAUCUAUCUAUCUAUCUAUCUAUCUAUCUAUCUUUUUUGAGACAGAGUCUCACUGUCGCCUAGGCUGCUGUGCGAUCUCGGCUUACUGCAAUCUUCACCUCCUGGGUUCAAGCAAUUCUCCUGCCCAAGCCUCCCCAGUAGGAGAGAUUACAGGUGCCUGCCACCAUGCAUGGCUAAUUUUUUUGCUAUUCUUAGUAGAAAAGGGGUUUCACCAUGCUGGCCAGGCUGGUCUCGAACUCCUGACCUCAGGUGAUCCGCCCGCCUCGGCCUCCCAAAGUGCUGGGAUUACAGGCAUCAGCCACUGCGCCCGGCCUAUGCCAUCUAUAUUUGUAUCUAAUUUGUUCUCCCAGAAAACUGAGCUUGGGAGGUCUUUCCCCUUGAGCCUCUCUCUUAUGACUAGAAGGUGCUGAUGGUGGUGGGGACUGAGCCUGGUUUAGGGUCAACUCUACUGAACUGGGAGGUGACGAAGCAGAUCAUUUUCAGAAUCUGUUCCAUUUUUUACCUUGAUGAAGUGUAUCCUGCAGCUAAGUGCCCACUGGUCGGUUGCAGUAAUUAAUCAACUUUAUUGCCUAUACUUGAGGUCUCUGGAGCCUUGGCAUGCAAAUAUAUGUAAAUGAGCAGAGGAGUGGGUUGAACCUAAAGCCUGGGGAGUGUCUGCCUGGAUUGGGCUGAUUUCUCUGUUCACGUUUCCUGCCGUAAUCUUCCCGUGUUCCCUGGGAGCAGGAGAAUGGGGGGCAAGGAGAAGGAGCCUUAGAGUCAGAGACACCUGGGUUCAAAGUCCAGCCCACCUCUUCCUGCUGUGUGUGAUCCUGGGCAAGUCCCUGCACCUCUCAGCCUGCGUGUCUCCAUCCCCUACAGUGGCAGUAAUGAUCCUCUUCUCACCGUGCAGGGCUCUGGUGGGCCCAAGGAAGCAGCGCUCAGAAAACACAACUUGCCUUAAGAAGCAGCGCCUCUCAGAGCUCCUAAAUUACGCAUUUCUGAGGUGGCGGGGAGGAGAGUGCAGUCAUCUGGGCUUCGCAGCCCUGGCAGAGCAAGUGCUCCUUGAAAGGAGAUGCUACAAUUUCCCCUAAUGAAUGGCAACUGCUGCUUAAUCCAGUCCUUGCCUCCUUUCCCGUCCAGUUCGGUGUGUUUUAUGUGCGACCUUUGCUGAGUGCAGCCAUUCCUCUGGGGGAGAAUUUUUUAUUUGAAAUUUGAACAGCCUGGAAGACUUAUUCUAAAUAAUGGAUGUAAAGUGUGUCUGUGCAAAAACCACACGAAUUAUGUUAGGAAACCUAGGCUGAGUUGGGCUCCAAGUCCUGCUGGGACCUCUGAAGAGUGGGGCUGGGGACCCAAGGCUGCUCUGAUCAAGGAUUCAUACAGGAGCUUCUUUCAUCGUUGAUUUUGCAUUGGACGCAACUUAUAGAGUUUGCAGGUCUUUUUCAGGAGAGGUGGACAUUGAGGUUUACUGAGCACCCACUGUGUGUGAGGGCCGCGGAUGUGCUACUCCCAGCAACCCAGGUACUCAUUAAAUGUCAGGAGGAGGAUUUAUGUCUAUGUUUAUAUCUAUCUAUGCUCCUGCUCUCCUGCAGGCCCCGAUGUAGACAGCACCUCCUUAGGGAGCUCCCUGACCCCCCAGGUUGGGCUAGGGGCCCCUGUGGCUCCCACGUUGUCUGUGUGUCCCCCAUCAGAUCGCACGGUGCUGCCACCAUCUGUCUCCCCCGGACUGAGGGUCUGGAGGGCAGCGAUGACAUCUCUGUCCCCGUGUGGUGACCACAUAGCUCUGCCCUCCCUGACUAUGGGGCCUGGACCAGUCUCCUCACCACUCAGGCCCUAGUGUCCUCAUCUGUCAGACGGGUGACAGUCCACAUCCCCCAGGCUUGCGACACGUGUGAGGGCUCAGGCACGGUGAUGGUAGAGGCAAGGGCGCGAGCUGGGUGACCUCAGCCUCCCCUCCUCCCUCCGUACUUCCCUCCAUCCUCAACUCCACCUCUGAGGGGCCUGGGCUCCGCUCUCCUGCAGGAUUGCCACCCCCACCCCCGCACCUUCUCCCAACCUUCAGAGGAGAGGUAAUUAAAACUUCCUCCAGCACCAUGUCCUGAAGUUCCCUGCUUAAUUAGCACAACCUGCUACUCAGGAGUUACAUAACAUGGACGCGGCCUCCCUGCCCUGGAGAAGUGUGUUGACGUCUCCCUGCAGGACCAGUUACAUAAUUUGUAGGGCCCAGUGAAACACGGAUAUGUGAUGCCCUUGUUUAAAAAGCGGAGAACAAGAAAUGCCAUGACAUAUACUUUAAUAUAAAGUUUUUUCUUUUCCGCCGAAGUCUCUCCCUUGUCAUGUUAUUUUUUAUUUGCUAUUUAAUGUUCUAAGUAAAAAUUUAGAACU